rfam:Dipodomys ordii contig_68842, whole genome shotgun sequence.
CUGUGUCUUACUUCAACAGUGUUUGGACGGAACAG